GGGGGACCUUCGGGCCUCUUGCCAUCGGAUGUGCCCAGAUGGGAUUAGCUAGUAGGUGGGGUAACGGCUCACCUAGGCGACGAUCCCUAGCUGGUCUGAGAGGAUGACCAGCCACACUGGAACUGAGACACGGUCCAGACUCCUACGGGAGGCAGCAGUGGGGAAUAUUGCACAAUGGGCGCAAGCCUGAUGCAGCCAUGCCGCGUGUAUGAAGAAGGCCUUCGGGUUGUAAAGUACUUUCAGCGGGGAGGAAGGGAGUAAAGUUAAUACCUUUGCUCAUUGACGUUACCCGCAGAAGAAGCUCCGGCUAACUCCGGGCAGCAGC
rnacentral:rRNA from 1 species